rnacentral:rRNA from 1 species
GCCUAACACAUGCAAGUCGAACGGGGAGCACUUUCGGGUGUUCCGAGUGGCGCACGGGUGAGUAACACGUAGCUGACCUGCCCCAGACACCGGGAUAACGUCGCGAAAGCGGUGCUAAUACCGGAUAAGCUCACGCGAGUUAGAGAGGCGUGAGAAAAGUGUUAGCGGUUUGGGAGGGAGCUGCGGCCCAUCAGCUAGUAGGUGCGGUAGUGGCGCACCUAGGCGACGACGGGUAGGGGACCUGAGAGGGUGACCCCCCACACUGGGACUGAGACACGGCCCAGACUCCUACGGGAGGCAGCAGUGAGGAAUAUUGCUCAAUGGGCGCAAGCCUGAAGCAGCGACGCCGCGUGGGCGAUGAAGGGUUUCGGAUCGUAAAGCCCUUUUCCAGGUGACGAGGAAGGACGGUAGCCUGGGAAUAAGUGUCGGCUAACUACGUGCCAGCAGCCGCGGUAAAACGUAGGACGCAAGCGUUAUCCGGAAUUACUGGGCGUAAAGCGCGUGUAGGCGGGUCGGUAAGUCACUGGUGAAAGCCCCUGGCUAAACUGGGGGAGGUUCGGUGAGACUGUCGGUCUGGAGGGUGUCAGAGGGAUGCAGAAUUCCGGGUGUAGUGGUGAAAUGCGUAGAGAUCCGGAGGAAUACCAGAGGCGAAGCGGCAUUCUGGGACACACCUGACGCUGAGACGCGAAAGCAUGGGGAGCGAACGGGAUUAGAGACCCCGGUAGUCCAUGCCGUAAACGAUGUAGACUAGAUGUGCGUUUUCCUACGGGGGAAUGCGUGUCGCAGCUAACGCGAUAAAGUCUACCGCCUGGGGAGUACGGUCGCAAGGCUAAAACUCAAAGGAAUUGACGGGGGCCCGCACAAGCAGCGGAGCGUGUGGUUUAAUUCGAGGCUACGCGAAGAACCUUACCUGGGUUUGACAUCCCCUGAGCGAAGGCGAAAGCCGGAGGUUCCCGCAAGGGACAGGGAGACAGGUGCUGCAUGGCUGUCGUCAGCUCGUGUCGUGAGAUGUUCGGUUAAGUCCGAAAACGAGCGCAACCCCUGGGACGUGUUACAGGUGUCACGUUCGACUGCCGGCAGCAAGCCGGAGGAAGGUGGGGAUGACGUCAAGUCAGCAUGGCCUUUAUGUCCAGGGCUACACACACGCUACAAUGGUCGGUACAAUGGGUCGCGAAGCCGCGAGGUGGAGCCAAUCCUGAAAAGCCGGUCGUAGUUCGGAUUGCAGGCUGCAACUCGCCUGCAUGAAGUUGGAGUUGCUAGUAACCGCGCAUCAGCACGGUGCGGUGAAUACGUUCCCGGGCCUUGUACACACCGCCCGUCACGUCAUGAGAGUUGGUCACGCCUGAAGUCGGGAAGGUAACCGCGAGGAGCCUACCGCCGAAGGCAGGGCUGAUGAUUGGGACGAAGUCGUAACAAGGUAGCUGUAGCGGAAGCUGCGGCUGGAUCACCUCCUU